rnacentral:ncRNA from 1 species
UCGCGGCCGUCAGGAGAGAGUGCCCCACCUUCGAUGAAGGCAGCGCGGCACCGCCGAAGGCGCAGGCAGCAGCCGAACGCUCAGGCAAAAGGACUGACAACCGCCC